rnacentral:rRNA from 1 species
UACGGAGGGUGCAAGCGUUGUUCGGAAUUACUGGGCGUAAAGGGCUCGUAGGCGGCCAACUAAGUCAGACGUGAAAUCCCUCGGCUUAACCGGGGAACUGCGUCUGAUACUGGAUGGCUUGAGUUUGGGAGAGGGAUGCGGAAUUCCAGGUGUAGCGGUGAAAUGCGUAGAUAUCUGGAGGAGCACCGGUGGCGAAGGCGGCAUCCUGGACCAACACUGACGCUGAGUGAGCGAAAGCCAGGGGAGCAAACGGG